rnacentral:rRNA from 1 species
UGCGUAGGCCGAUUAAUAAGUCAGUGGUGAAAUCUUUCGGCUCAACCGAGAAACUGCCAUUGAUACUGUUAAUCUUGAGUUCGGUUGAGGUAGGCGGAAUGUGUAAUGUAGCGGUGAAAUGCUUAGAUAUUACACAGAACACCAAUUGCGUAGGCAGCUUACUAGACCGACACUGACGCUGAGGCACGAAAGCGUGGGGAGCGAACAGGAUUAGAUACCCUGGUAGUCC